rnacentral:rRNA from 1 species
UACGUAGGGGGCGAGCGUUGUCCGGAAUCAUUGGGCGUAAAGCGCGUGUAGGCGGCCCGGUAAGUCCGCUGUGAAAGUCCAGGGCUCAACCCUGGGAUGCCGGUGGAUACUGUCGGGCUCGAGUCCGGAAGAGGCGAGUGGAAUUCCUGGUGUAGCGGUGAAAUGCGCAGAUAUCAGGAGGAACACCAAUGGCGAAGGCAGCUCGCUGGGACGUGACUGACGCUGAGGCGCGAAAGCGUGGGGAGCAAACAGG